rnacentral:rRNA from 1 species
CACGCUUCUUCUCCACCCAUCCAAGCCGCACCCACUAGCUCCCAGCUGCAGCAAGCAAGCGAAGCUCGUGCGUGUGCAAGCGAGCGAGCUCAGAAACCACCCUACAAAGCUCCGGCUGAGCCACCCGACCGGCCGGCGACGAUGCCGAUGCUCAUCCCCGACGACGUUCGCGCCAAGGCGGAGAUCUACACCGGCGACGCGGCGGGGCAGGAGAAGACGCGGCUGAUGCUGGCGGAGACGGAGCUCCCCAGCGGCCUCCUGCCGCUCAAGGACAUCAUCGAGUGCGGGUACGUGGAGGAGACUGGCUUCGUGUGGCUCAAGCAGAAGAAGCGGGUGGACCACUACUUCGCCAAGGCCGGCCGCCAUGUCUCCUACGCCACCGAGGUCUCCGCCAUCGCCGAGAAGGGCCGCCUGAAGAAGAUCUCCGGCGUCAAGGCCAAGGAGAUGCUCAUCUGGGUCAACCUCCACGAGAUCUGCGUCGACGACCCGCCCACCGGCAAGCUCCACUGCAAGGCCAUCGGCGGCCUCUCCCGCAGCUUCCCCGUGGAGGCAUUCGAGGCCACCGACGCCCUGCCCGUGCCCGUCACCGGACGUCUCAAGAAGAAGACAGAGAAGGAGAGCGCCGACCAGAAAGACGAGAAGAAGAAGGAGGAGGAGGCAGAGAAGCCCAAGGGGGCCGCCGUCGCCCCCGCCCCCGCCGCCGUCGACGAGAUCGGUCAGAAAAUGAAGGAGAUGAACACGGAGGCACCGGUGCAGGCGGAGGCGGUAGCAGCCAAGAACUGAACGGCGACGGCGGCACGUCAUGAUCGGUUACCCAGUCAUAAAUUUGUGUCAGAAUAACGCAUUGCAUUAGCAUGUCAUCAACCAUCCACACAUAUGUAUCACCUGAUCCAUCGAUGAGAGUUCAGUUCGACAACGAUGUAAUUUGCCUUUUUCUGGUUUUAAUGUGAUGAAAUUUAAUGGAUGUCAUUGCCAUGAGCUGGCGCUACCCGAUCGAUCGAUGGUACUACUACUGCUACGCACUGCCUUCGUUAAUUUAGGUACUCGUACUUUAUCUGAGGUGGCAGGAAGCAAGCAAAUGGGUGAGUAAAUUGGGGGAGCACUAGUGGUCACCUCAUCUCUGUUUCUCUUCUUCUGGGUGAGCAUUGAAUCCCAUGUGUUCCUCUUCAAUUUGGUGGGAUCUUGGAUUAGAUUCCGCUACCUUCCACGGCAUUCUUCGCCGCUUGCUUAGUUGAGUACCCCGCCGUUCGAAAAUACUUGUCCAAAAAUGAAUGUAUUUAGAUG